UACGAGGGGGGCUAGCGUUGUUCGGAUUUACUGGGCGUAAAGCGCACGUAGGCGGAUUGUUAAGUGAGGGGUGAAAUCCCAGGGCUCAACCCUGGAACUGCCUUUCAUACUGGCAAUCUCGAGUCCGGAAGAGGUGAGUGGAACUCCUAGUGUAGAGGUGGAAUUCGUAGAUAUUAGGAAGAACACCAGUGGCGAAGGCGGCUCACUGGUCCGGUACUGACGCUGAGGUGCGAAAGCGUGGGGAGCAAACAGG
rnacentral:rRNA from 1 species